ACUGAACUGAAAAAAGUGAUUGAACUCAGUAGUGUAGGUUCUAAGAUUCUUAGGUUCCAUGCUCUGUGAACCUGAGAGAAGGGGCUGGAUUUGUUUAGCUCAUUUCUUUUAUCCUGGGUGCCUACUAGAUGUCUGGUAUGAAGCCAGCACUCAAUAAACAUAGGUUGAAUGAAGACAAUGGAUACUAUACACGUGAUCUUCAGAGUAUGUUUUCUUGUUAUUUAGGCCUUUUUCUAGAAAGUUAUAUAUAACAGACAAAAUAAAGCAAAAAAGGAAAAGAGGAAGGAAGGGAAAGAAGAGAAAGGAGGUAAGUGGGGAAGAAGGAGAAAGAAAAGGAGAGAAGGAAUGAGAUUGGAAAUAAGAAGGAAGGAAAAGGUAAGAAAGAAGGAAGGAAAUUAAAAAGAAAUUCUGGGGUUUCAACUGAACCCCAGAAGAAUCUCUAUUUAAUCAACACUUGUACUCACUGAGGUUUAAAAUUAUAUUAAUCAAGUUUCUUGUCUCUCUUUCUAUCUCCAUCUCUUUUCCAGAAAACAGUAUGAGAGCUUCCCAUUUCGUGUCUACUGUGAAGACCUUCCAAAGCACACGAGUCAUGUGACUCUGAAGCUGCUGGAAUGUUCUAGAAGGAGACUCACCAAUCUCCCUGAGGGCUCCGGGGGAAUUGAUGAACUGUGGACAGACCUCCAGGUGUGGAUCUUCAUCUUGACAGACCGGUGUUGCCUUUUGAAAUCUUUUGUGGUCUUCCCCAUUGUUCUUCUGAACUCCUUUGAAAAGGCAGCGAGCCACUUUCCUGCUAUCUGAAGCCAGCUCUUCGUAAUGAGCAAUGCUUUUAAGAAUUGAGAGGAGUUCCCUUUGUGGCUCAGUGGGUUAAACUCGACAAGGUGUCCAUGAGGAUGCACGUUCAACCCCUGGCCUCACUCAGUGGAUUAAGGAUCUGGCAUUGCUGCAAGCUGUGGUAUAGGCUGCAAAUGUGCAUGGGAUCUGACGUUGCUGUGGCUGUGAUGUAGGCCACAGCUCCAACUUGACCUGCAGCCUAGGAACUUCCAUAUGCUGCAGGUGAGACUCUGAAAAGAAAAAAAAAAAAAAAGAAUCAAGGAUACUACACUACCAUUUUGAGACUGAAAAGAAGAAAGAAAAAGACUUAGAAACUGCUAUAACCUAAACACCUCUCUAAUCAUGGUUAGCAUCAUGUUCAAAUGGAUGAAAAAGUGAAAAUUAUGGAUAGUGAAUUUAUAAUUCCAGCAUCAUGUAAUUUGGGAUGGAGGACAUGGCGGUGAUUCUAGUCUCACACAACAUCCAAUUUGCUUCCCCUGUUUCCCAUGCUCUCUGCUGUUAGGUAGAGCCUUAUGCCUAGGUCUUGCCAAUGAAAUGGAAAUGGGAGUGGCGUGUAUCGCUUCUGAGGUGAAGACCUUGUAGGUUUUUGGUUUUUACUUCUGUUAUGGUAAAUGAAGAGACUGUAUCUUUCAGAAAGUUCAGCUACAAGAUGGUGGAGUCUCCAGUAGCCCAAUACCUACUUGUCUGUUUGGAACUGAGCCCAUCAGCAUGCUUGGAUCAAACAGGCGCCUCCAUAGCAAGCUAGGCCACUGCAGUUGGAUUCCUAACCCACUGCACCACAGUGGUAACUCCCUAUCAGCAUGCUUGGGAUGAGUAGCGUGAUGAGAAAUUAUGGUUGGGAUAGGUUAAGCCAUUGAGAUAUGGGGGUUGUUGUUACUGCAGUGUAACAGAGACAAUCCUGACUAAUGCACUAAGUCAGGGCUACUCAGCAAGCCACCAUGUUUGAUGAAGUAACAUACUUGUGUCAGAGUGUAAAACAGCACACUACUCACUUCCAAAAUGUCUUACCAUGAAUAAAGGUCUGAUAAACCAAACA
rnacentral:lncRNA from 1 species